ensembl:miRNA MIR101-1 microRNA 101-1
UCAGUUAUCACUGUGCUGAUGCUGUCCAUCUUAAAGGUACAGUACUGUGAUAACUGAAG